GUUGGAUUCUGGAGGCAGUAGGUGCUAAAAGUUGCUCUCGUGUGGCAGUUCUUUAUUUUUUUCGUUAAAAAGAACAAAGAAAUUGUCUGACAGGGCUGGAGGAACGUGUGGGCUCUGCAGGACAGACUGUAUCGUGGUGUCUGCAGACCAGUAGGCAUCCAAUUGAUCAAGCUCAGUGAUGCUCUUGGGAAGAGAGAUGGCACUGCUGAGAUCCCAUUCGUCAGCUUUAGCAGUUGGGAAGGGAUGGAAGAACAGCUCGUCGCAGAGCUCUGCAUCCUGCACCGUGCCCAGUCGUGUCUGCUGGGAUGCUCUCACUUCACAGAUGCUCUGCAGGAUGGGAUCCUUUGGGUCUGCCAUCACCUCCAGGCCAACCCCCAGCCAUGCUGAGCGUGUGAUGACACCGCUGUGUCUUUAAUUUGGCAGCUUUAAGCCUAAUGCUUUCACUCCACUUGGAAUAAUUUCCCACCUGCAAGUACCAGGGGCACGGCAGGGCAAGAGGACAAUUAAAAGGCAAUUUCUGCCAAGAGUCCCCUCUCCUUCACUGGGUGAUGUGCCUCAGCAGCAGCAGACCCCACAUUCCUCCACAGCAGCUGACAAAGGGCUGAGCAAGUUGGACCCAGGAUGCAAAGCAUUGGGCUGCUGGUGCCAUAGGUGAGGAAGAGGAGGAGCUCUCCAGCUUUGGG
rnacentral:lncRNA from 1 species